GCUGCCGAAAUUAGUGAGCAUCCCCAUUAUAAAUUUCUCAUACACAGUCAUUUCCUUGCGAAUUUGGUCCUCAACAGAGGCUACAGAUCUCUCUCCCUCCUCAUCACCAACUAGCAGUUCCUCACAACUCCCACUGUUACCACCAUUCUUACUAGCAUCAACCAUGCCUUCCACAAGGGUAAAUACAUGAUCAUUAGCAUCUGCCCCAAUUGAUUCGGCAAGAAUUCCCUUACUUAUCCAAAAAUUUAUCCUUCGAUUGAGUACAUCCACUGGUACCCCAAUAGCAGAUGCAAGCUUACUUGCGGUCCAACUCGUGUGAUCUUGAAAUUGCAUGAUAAUUGCAGCAUGUACAGGUGAUACUGUAAACGGCAUUGCUCUAUCUUCAAAUUGCAACUCCAGCUUCACAGUGCCAAGAUUUUUCUUCCAAAGUAACUUACGAGGAGUCUUGAUUUCGUGAAACCUAUUGGCAUAAUCAGUGAGCAGUUUUUCAACAGGCUCAGGUACAUUAAGUGCUUCGUCCUGGAUUGGAGGCCAAAAAUUUGAGGAUAUAAUGGUGGCAUCAAGAACAUCCAGAGAUACUCCUGUUUCUUGCUGCUCUUGUCCUGUUUGAGUUGACUGUAUUGUUGCUUUGAUAUUAUGGUUUGUUCUCUUGGAAUCAAUCAAAUCAUUAAGCAUAAUUUCACACCUCUGCAUACUGCUGUCUCCAAAAUGUAUCUUGAGAAGUUCCAAAGUUCUUAUCUCUGAGUCAAUGUCAUAAUCAGAUUUGUUGAGAAGCUUUUCAGCAAGCAUCANCAGCAAGCAUCACACGAUAUUCAUUAACAAGUUGGUCUUUUGAACCAAUUAUGCCAACAAUCAUCCCCAGUAUGUCAACCUUCCUUUGAGUCCUACUGCCCUUUGAUGGAUCAGCCUCUACAGGAUCAGGCUCCCAGCGUAAAGCGUUGAUCCAUGNCGCUUGUCAUCAGUGUGGAAGUCAUCAUCAGCAACAGCAUUUUCUUGACUUUCCUCAUCUCUAUUUAAUUCCUCAAGAAGGCUAUCCCCAGUAAUUCCAGAUCCAUUUGGGUUCCCCCCAGUCCCAUCAGUUAGCAUGGUUACAAUGCACUUUAUGGUGUCUUUCCUACCCCUUAAAUAAUCUCUUAUUGGCUCACCAACUGCUUCAAGAAAGACACCAGCAGGAUCAAUAGUACGCAGUGCUUUAAUAGUUGAAACAUACUGAUGCAGUAUGUCAUUGGUUGAGGCACCCGCAGUGAGUAAGCGAUAUCUCAGUGAAGAAAUGAAUGACUCAACCAACUUAGAAUGUUGUCCAGUAUAUUCAAGGCACUGUUUUAAGUCC
rnacentral:misc_RNA from 1 species